rnacentral:rRNA from 1 species
GGGUGCUUAACACAUGCAAGUCGAACGCGAAAGGGACUUCGGUCCCGAGUAAAGUGGCGCACGGGUGCCUAACACGUGGAUAAUCUGCCUCUAUGAUGGGGAUAACAGUUGGAAACGACUGCUAAUACCGAAUACGCUCAUAAUGAACUUUAUGAGGAAAGGUGGCCUCUGCUUGCAAGCUAUCGCAUAGAGAUGAGUCCGCGUCCCAUUAGCUAGUUGGUGGGGUAACGGCCUACCAAGGCAACGAUGGGUAGCCGAUCUGAGAGGAUGAUCGGCCACACUGGAACUGAAACACGGUCCAGACUCCUACGGGAGGCAGCAGUGGGGAAUAUUGCGCAAUGGGCGAAAGCCUGACGCAGAGACGCCGCGUGAGGGAUGAAGGUCUUCGGAUCGUAAACCUCUGUCAGAAGGGAAGAAACUAGGGUGCUCUAAUCAUCAUCCUACUGACGGUACCUUCAAAGGAAGCACCGGCUAACUCCGUGCCAGCAGCCGCGGUAAUAUGGAGGGUGCAAGCGUUAAUUGGAAUCACUGGGCGUAAAGCGCACGUAGGCUGUUAUGUAAGUCAGGGGUGAAAUCCCACGGCUCAACCGUGGAACUGCCCUUGAUAUUGCACGACUUGAAUCCGGGAGAGGGUGGCGGAAUUCCAGGUGUAGGAGUGAAAUCCGUAGAUAUCUGGAGGAACAUCAGUGGCGAAGGCGGCCACCUGGACCGGUAUUGACGCGUGAGGUGCGAAAGCGUGGGGAG